GGUUACGGGUCAAAUGUUAGGGCAGAGCAUUGUAUACGGUAGAAACAAUUGAUUAUAAGACUUGAAAAACAAACUACAUUAAGUAGAGGUGGCAGAAGGGGGCCCUGGCUAGAUAGAGGUGGCAGAAGGGGGCAGACUACUUAGAGGUAGCAGACUACAUAGAGGUGGCAGAAGGGGCCAGACUACAUAGAGGUGGCAGAAGGGGCCAGACUACAUAGAGGUGGCAGAAGGGGCCAGACUACAUAGAGGUGGCAGUAGGGGCCAGACUACAUAGAGGUGGCAGAAGGGGCCAGACUACAUAGAGGUGGCAGAAGGGGCCAGACUACAUAGAGGUGGCAGAAGGGGGUCCUGACUACAUAGAGGUGGCAGAAGGGGCCAGACUACAUAGAGGUAUGUUCUGCUUCAUGUUCCACGUCAGUACCACUACAACCCAGAGGAGGGCGCUCGUUCACAAGAAAAGGUGAGUAAAACAAACACCUCACCAAGCCUGUUACCAUAGCAGACACUAGCUAGCCCAGCUGAGGAGCAUCCUUCACACAGUGUGGUG